UACGUAGGGUGCAAGCGUUGUCCGGAAUUAUUGGGCGUAAAGAGCUCGUAGGCGGUUUGUCGCGUCGAAUGUGAAAACCCGGGGCUCAACUCCGGGCCUGCAUUCGAUACGGGCAGACUAGAGUUCGGUAGGGGAGACUGGAAUUCCUGGUGUAGCGGUGAAAUGCGCAGAUAUCAGGAGGAACACCGAUGGCGAAGGCAGGUCUCUGGGCAUUAACUGACGCUGAGGAGCGAAAGCAUGGGGAGCGAACAGG
rnacentral:rRNA from 1 species